rfam:Amborella trichopoda AMTR_V1.0_contig_13706, whole genome shotgun sequence.
UCCACACCCAUGUGUGUAGGACCCCAAAUGAUCACCAUUAAAUUUGGUACAGAUCUCUAGAAAAGUUAUCACAGAAAAGUUAUCACAUGGGCUUGAGACUCAACUUUUCUAGAGAUCUGUGUCAAAUUUAAUGGUGAUCCUUUGGGGUCCUACAUACAUGGGUAUGGG